GGUGCUUGCACCUGAUUGAUUUUGGUCGCCAACGAGUGGCGGACGGGUGAGUAACACGUAGGUAACCUGCCCAGAAGCGGGGGACAACAUUUGGAAACAGAUGCUAAUACCGCAUAACAACGUUGUUCGCAUGAACAACGCUUAAAAGAUGGCUUCUCGCUAUCACUUCUGGAUGGACCUGCGGUGCAUUAGCUUGUUGGUGGGGUAAUGGCCUACCAAGGCGAUGAUGCAUAGCCGAGUUGAGAGACUGAUCGGCCACAAUGGGACUGAGACACGGCCCAUACUCCUACGGGAGGCAGCAGUAGGGAAUCUUCCACAAUGGGCGCAAGCCUGAUGGAGCAACACCGCGUGAGUGAAGAAGGGUUUCGGCUCGUAAAGCUCUGUUGUUAAAGAAGAACACGUAUGAGAGUAACUGUUCAUACGUUGACGGUAUUUAACCAGAAAGUCACGGCUAACUACGUGCCAGCAGCCGCGGUAAUACGUAGGUGGCAAGCGUUAUCCGGAUUUAUUGGGCGUAAAGAGAGUGCAGGCGGUUUUCUAAGUCUGAUGUGAAAGCCUUCGGCUUAACCGGAGAAGUGCAUCGGAAACUGGAUAACUUGAGUGCAGAAGAGGGUAGUGGAACUCCAUGUGUAGCGGUGGAAUGCGUAGAUAUAUGGAAGAACACCAGUGGCGAAGGCGGCUACCUGGUCUGCAACUGACGCUGAGACUCGAAAGCAUGGGUAGCGAACAGGAUUAGAUACCCUGGUAGUCCAUGCCGUAAACGAUGAGUGCUAGGUGUUGGAGGGUUUCCGCCCUUCAGUGCCGGAGCUAACGCAUUAAGCACUCCGCCUGGGGAGUACGACCGCAAGGUUGAAACUCAAAGGAAUUGACGGGGGGCCCGCACAAGCGGUGGAGCAUGUGGUUUAAUUCGAAGCUACCCGAAGAAACCUUACCAGGUCUUGACAUCUUGCGCCAACCCUAGAGAUAAGGGCGUUUCCUUCCGGGAACCCAAAUGACACGGUGGCGCAUGGCCC
rnacentral:rRNA from 2 species